AAAAUCCAAGCUGUAACCGUUACCUUGUUGUUCAUUUAUUGAUCCUCCACUGCCCGCCGUGCUAUUUCAGAUGUAAAUUGCAUGCACAAGGGUAGGAGGUGUCGCUGUCAACCUUGCAUUGAUGUGCCGCACUUACUGCUCCACUUCAGGUUGUUUUCGCGGAUGUGACGAUCAACCACAACCUCGUCCAGGCAAGCACAGGAGGAAACCCAUUUCCGUUGAGACUUUGACGCGAAAGAGGAUAGCACAGGAGGAAACCCAUUUCCGUUGAGACUUUGACGCGAAAGAGGGUACCUGCUCCUGUGUAUCUGUCAGGUUGUUUUGUCCUUAACUUGAAGGAAUUGGAGCAAUGCUAUGUUUUCUGGUUGAUCGAGCAUGUUUCUGUAGUAUGAGUAUCCGCAAUGUUACGGUGCAUGUAUAUACAUCUAAAGGGAAUGGAUAAGCAAAAGCAACAUGUAACUUGUGUCAAAUAAGAUGGCAAUUGUCUAGCAAGUCCAUUUUUCCAUGUUGUCAAAUGAAUCCUCAAGCUGUAUAAGAUGUGAAUUAGUGAAGAUGCCAUUUUGGCUCUAA